rnacentral:rRNA from 1 species
AUUGAACGCUGGCGGCAGGCCUAACACAUGCAAGUCGGACGGUAGCACAGAGGGGCUUGCUCCUCGGGUGACGAGUGGCGGACGGGUGAGUAAUGUCUGGGGAUCUGCCCGAUAGAGGGGGAUAACCACUGGAAACGGUGGCUAAUACCGCAUAACGUCGCAAGACCAAAGAGGGGGACCUUCGGGCCUCUCACUAUCGGGUGAACCCAGAUGGGAUUAGCUAGUAGGCGGGGUAAUGGCCCACCUAGGCGACGAUCCCUAGCUGGUCUGAGAGGAUGACCGGCCACCCUGGAACUGAGACACGGUCCAGACGCCUACGGGAGGCAGCAGUGGGGAAUAUUGCACAAUGGGCGCAAGCCUGAUGCAGCCAUGCCGCGUGUAUGAAGAAGGCCUUCGGGUUGUAAAGUACUUUCAGCGGGGAGGAAGGCGGUGCGGUUAAUAACCGCGCCGAUUGACGUUACCCGCAGAAGAAGCACCGGCUAACUCCGUGCCAGCCGCCGCGGUAACAC